UUAGAGGCUUAUCAGUUUAGACGCUGAUCAUGUCCACAUAUAUACCGCGCGCCUCCCAGCACACAACGCGGAAGAUUAUCCUGGAGUUAGAUUGGUUCGUAUGGUAGUCAUAGUCACGGUCCAUGUUUAGAGUUCGUUCACGCUGGAUUAUCCGCUCCCAGUUCCUCGUCAUAGUUCAUGUUUCUCGUUUAGUUUAUCGACCCUGUUUUCCGUGGCCACGACCUUGAUUCAUGUUUAACCCUGUGUAUGCCUGUUUGCCGAUCGCCUGACCUUCGCCUGUUUUGGAUCACGUUUUGGAUUUGUCUGUCUGUCUCUUUUAAAAUAAACAAUUGUUCAUACUGCAAUUGCAUCCGUCCUAUCUCCGCUCCGUCACGAUACGUGACAUCGAGUUAAACCUGAUUUCACAUCGGAUAGCCCAGAAGAAGCUCAUUAAAGCCUACAGGAAGUUGUCACAGCAGUGACACCCAGACAACUUCCAGGAUCCUGAAGAGAAGAACAAGGCUGAGAAGAAGUUCAUAGACAUCGCACAGGCCAAGGAAGUGCUCACUGAGCCAGAAAUGAGGAGUUCGUUUGACAAGGGUGAAGACCCCCUGGACCCGGAGAGCAAGCACGGAGAAGGCCAUCACCACUUCCAGGAGGCCUGGGAGAGUUUCCAGGGCUUUAACCCUUUUGGCUCUGGACUGUUCAACUUUAAAUUCAACUUUAACUGAGAUCAUCCAGGAGGACAUCAGUCUGAUCUGAAUAUAUACCAUCAGCCAUUGUUGUGGAUAAAAAAUGUCAUAAAAUAAACAUAAGGGAGAUCUAGCAUCCAGCAAAGGGGAGAAGAAGAAAAGACGGGCACCUAGACACAUAGAAGCAGGAUUAGGCGGACAUUGACAAAUUGGAAUUACACUUUAAAGAUCUUUAAGAGCAGUAAUAGUCAAAAAAGUCAAAAGAGGUAUACGAGCUGAGCUGAGGAGGGCUAAUACACCCACACACGCUCGUACAGUCAAGGGUGGGCAAGCAGACACAACAUACACACACACUCUCUCUUUCUCAUACCCACACAUGAAUAACAUUAAUAAUAUCUUAUAGUAAUAGAGAAACUCUAUAAAAAAACAGAAUAGUAGGAUAUGCAGGACAGUAGAACUGUAAUGAUAUUAAGAAGUUGGAAGUACAGUAAACCGCUUUUCAAGUAGUAUAAAUAUAUAUAAAUAAGAAAUAUAGUGCAAAUAUGAAAAUAAAUUAUAAACUAGAAAUACAGGAAAAUGUAAACUUACUCAUGACUCAAAUGGUGAGGGUUCUUGGCUCGCAAGGAAGGCCUUAAUUUUAAGAAAGAACCAUGAGGAGCCAGUUAUAAGGGUGGCUGAGUCAAGCUGAGUCAAGCCCCCCCCCCCCCGAGAUAACGAUAAGACCAAGGUCCCUCUAGGUUGUUUAGUCUUGUCCACGUUCUGUCCUCUGGGUAACUGAAAAACGAAGUUUCUGAUGCCCUAGGUAACUGAACAUUCUGGUUUCUGAUCCUCUGAGUAACUAGAAACUCAGGGUUUUUAUUUUCUGGGUUAUUAGAAAUGCCUGGGUUCUGAUUUUAUGUGUAAAUUAAAACCCCUGGUUUCAAUUCUAUGUGUAAGUGAAAUAGCCCUUUUCUGGAACAUAAGAGUAAGGUAAAUGAGCUUUUUUAACCCUAUUGGUAGUGAGAUCAUAGUCUUCUUGAAACAUAUGGGUUAUUUAGUGUGUAAAUACAGUAUAAAUACUGGAGCUCAGGGUAGGGGGAUCACUUCUGAGAAUUCUCAUCGGUGUGGAUCUCGUGUGGUGGAAUGGAACAAUAAAGCUGGACCCUUGCUUCUUCUCACUCACGGCUGGUGUAUUUUUUCUAUCUCCAACUGGUCUCAGAGGUAGAUGUGAGUAUUGGCUUCUAAGUUGAAUUUUAAAUGUUUUUGGGUAAUAGGCUAAAUUUGAGCCAACAUUUGGCACCCCAGAUGGGACUGGGUAAGAUCUAUAUGUCUGGAAUCUCUCCCGUGGGACUUUGCUCUCUAAGCAACAGACAGGCCGUAUAGGAAAAGGCAUUGCAGAUGCCUGUUAUUUCAAAGCUCUGUUUUAGUGGUCUGUUGUUACGAUUGGGAAGCCCCGGGGUGGGAAGAAAGACUAAGUGGGUCUCCAAAAGAACCUUGAGUGAGUGAGAAGAGGUAAGAGAAGUGUAGAUUGUAGAAGAAUGUACUUAUUGUAAUUGUAUAAGGUUCAUAAGACUGUGUAAGGAUAUGGUAUAUGUGUUGUGUGAGUGAAAGUCCUGCAAUACCGCUGGAGGAAGGUAGAAAAAAGGUAGAAGAAAAAAAGAGAAAUACUCCAGGGCUGGGAUAGAAAGCAGGUGGAAAAUGAGGCCUCAGACCCCAGAUACCGGCUACUAGACUAGACUAGCAGACUAGUGGCGGCUGCAUUGGUGGGGACCCCUAAUACCGCUGGAAAAAGAUAGAUAGAUAGAUAGAUAGAUUAGAUUCCAGGGCUGGAUAGAGAGGGGAAUAAAUCCUGGGCCCAGGUCCGGGUCGUGCAAUACAGCAUGCCCGGUGUAUGAAUGGAAUGUGUACUAACAAAUGUGUGUGCUUAUAAUAUAUGUGCUUAUAAUAUGAGUGCGGUGUGAGAGCGUGUAAGUUUUGGAGACAGGGAAAAUGUAUUUAUUAGUGCUCUGAACAUGAGCUCCAUACCUAAAGCGAUAUGUGUGUUGGAUAAGUUGGAUAAGAUUUAGAGAAAAUUAAAUUUUUUUUGGAGAAAGUUGAAUUUAAUUUGUAUGACUGUAAGCUUCAUGCAUACGGAGCUGGUAUGGAGGUGCUUUAUACUUUGAAAACUUCAUGUAGUAACAUAAAUAAGUGUAAUAAUGUGGAAUACAAUGUGUGUAUGGGAGCUUGCCGGCGUUGUUCUUAUCUGCGCAAGCAGGCCUGCCGUCUGUGUGGAAAUAAAAAAAGGAAAAGAAGAAAAAUGUGUGUGUGUGCGCACUUCAGAUUGAGCUGAGUAACAUAGAACAGUGUGAGAUUUUUUUUUUUUUUAAAUUUGUUUUAAUGUUUUGAAUCUGGUACGGACUUUCUGUGAGUCGGGUGUGACUAUGUGUAUUAUAACUUUAUUGGUAUAAUCAAUAACUGCUGUUUUAAAAAUUGGGGGAGCAUGCAAGAACAUUGUAAAUAUUUUAGGCAUCUGUCAGACUGCCCAUUGGGUGAAUAAGAACUUCUAGACCAGUAAUAUAUAACAAAAUUGUUGAGAAAUCAGUGAGUCAGUCCAUUGGGACCUUUCAUUUAUAUUCCAUAAAUUAUGAAGGUGUUGUUCAGUUAAAUGACAAAUAAUAAUACAAUUUAAUUUUUGUUUAAUUACCCAAAAUUGGGUAAUGUUGAAUAGGUAAAUAUUAUGUCUAAGAAUAUUGUAAACAUGUAAGAAUUGCCGGAUUGGCCGUUGUG